CGGCUGGUCUAAGUAUAAGCAAUCUAUACAGUGAAACUGCGAAUGGCUCAUUAAAUCAGUUAUCGUUUAUUUGAAUAGUACCUUUGCUACUUGGAUAACCGUGGUAAUUCUAGAGCUAAUACAUGCUAAAAAUCCCGACCCCUGGAAGGGAUGUAUUUAUUAGAUAAAAAACCAAUGGCUUCGGCCUCCCUGGUGAUUCAUGAUAACUUAACGAAUCGCAUGGCCUUGUGCCGGCGAUGGUUCAUUCAAAUUUCUGCCCUAUCAACUUUCGAUGGUAGGAUAGUGGCCUACCAUGGUUUCAACGGGUAACGGGGAAUUAGGGUUCUAUUCCGGAGAGGGAGCCUGAGAAACGGCUACCACAUCCAAGGAAGGCAGCAGGCGCGCAAAUUACCCAAUCCCGACACGGGGAGGUAGUGACAAUAAAUACUGAUACAGGGCUCUUUUGGGUCUUGUAAUUGGAAUGAGUACAAUUUAAAUCCCUUAACGAGGAACAAUUGGAGGGCAAGUCUGGUGCCAGCAGCCGCGGUAAUUCCAGCUCCAAUAGCGUAUAUUAAAGUUGUUGCAGUUAAAAAGCUCGUAGUUGAACCUUGGGUCUGGCUGGCCGGUCCGCCUCACCGCGUGCACUGGUCCGGCCGGAUCUUUCCUUCUGGCUAGCCGCAUGCCCUUCAUUGGGUGUGUCGGGGAACCAGGACUUUUACUUUGAAAAAAUUAGAGUGUUCAAAGCAGGCAUAUGCUCGAAUACAUUAGCAUGGAAUAAUAGAAUAGGACGUGCGGUUCUAUUUUGUUGGUUUCUAGGACCGCCGUAAUGAUUAAUAGGGAUAGUCGGGGGCAUCAGUAUUCAAUUGUCAGAGGUGAAAUUCUUGGAUUUAUUGAAGACUAACUACUGCGAAAGCAUUUGCCAAGGAUGUUUUCAUUAAUCAGUGAACGAAAGUUAGGGGAUCGAAGACGAUCAGAUACCGUCGUAGUCUUAACCAUAAACUAUGCCGACUAGGGAUCGGGCGAUGUUCUUUUUUCUGACUCGCUCGGCACCUUACGAGAAAUCAAAGUCUUUGGGUCUGGGGGAGUAGCGCCGC
rnacentral:rRNA from 1 species